rnacentral:rRNA from 1 species
UGGGGAAUAUUGCACAAUGGGCGCAAGCCUGAUGCAGCCAUGCCGCGUGUAUGAAGAAGGCCUUCGGGUUGUAAAGUACUUUCAGCGGGGAGGAAGGGAGUAAAGUUAAUACCUUUGCUCAUUGACGUUACCCGCAGAAGAAGCACCGGCUAACUCCGUGCCAGCAGCCGCGGUAAUACGGAGGGUGCAAGCGUUAAUCGGAAUUACUGGGCGUAAAGCGCACGCAGGCGGUUUGUUAAGUCAGAUGUGAAAUCCCCGGGCUCAACCUGGGAACUGCAUCUGAUACUGGCAAGCUUGAGUCUCGUAGAGGGGGGUAGAAUUCCAGGUGUAGCGGUGAAAUGCGUAGAGAUCUGGAGGAAUACCGGUGGCGAACGCGGCCCCCUGGACGAAGACUGACGCUCAGGUGCGAAAGCGUGGGGAGCAAACAGG